AAGCCAAAGCCUAGAUUUGUAUUAUGUGUUCUUUUAUGUAGUUUCGGUAUUCAGGCAGUGUUCAGAGAGUUGUCGUUUUUUAUAAGUUGUGCGCCUUUGUCCAUCGAAGGCGUUGAUUGUCAAACCUGUUGAUAUAAUUAUAUAAAUAGGUCCAUAGCACGCAAUUUAUGUGUAUGCGUUUCUGUGCCGGUAGCGGUAGUAACGGUCCUUCAGUAGCGCGUCGCUGGCUCUAGUCAUGCGCAGCUUAUUCGCAUGAGCCGGCGAAAAUAUGUACCCGACAGCCCAUGUGGGACCUGGCGCCGAAGACAUGUCAGAAGACGAGGAAGCGUCCUUGGUGCAGGAACGUGACCGGACGCUGCGCACAGCCCUGGACCAGAUACAACAGCGACGGCGUGCACCUGCAAACCCUCCCAGUCCUCCUUCUGCUGUAGAUGCCAUUGAACACCAAUUUAAGGAGUGCCAUGGCAGCAGCGAUGCCGCAGUGGAUGGUGACAGCGCCGCUGCGGUGAAGCCAUCUCCACCACAGGGUCCUUUAGAGGCUUUACGACAGCGGGAGUGGCUGCUGAACCUACAGGAACAGCAGGAGCUCCAACGUCUCAAGGUUGCUUUAUCCUCACCUGUGCAGCAGGAACUCACCGAGGAAAAGGAGGAGCAAUUGCUGUUCAACGGUGAGGUGCCUCCCCUGUUGCCGGUGCACUCUACUGCAGCGGCCCUAUGUACCACCACAGCCUCUUCGACAUGUACUUCAUCGACCUCGACGCAUUCCACAACAUCAACUUGUUCUACCUCCUCAUCAUCGCAACAUUCCACAUGUACCACAACUUCUGCUACGUGCCCCUCGAACUCUGCGCGCUCGGGACCCAACAGGGGCUCGAUGGGGGGUAGGGGCAGGGGUGGCAAUCGUUCCAGGCCACCGUGCGUGCACCACAAUAGCCGGGGCAGGCCCUUCGCUCGCAGGGAGCAUCCUCAACAAGGUGGCCGUUGGGGUCACGAACACCGGCUGCAGAGCAGAGAGAACCUCAUGCAACAGAUGCCCAAUGAAAGAGGACCUACCAACAGCCCAAAGAAGACCAUGGAGCCACCAGUCUGGCAGCAGGGGGUUAUGCCCCUGUCAGUGCAGGAUGAGGCCUCCAUGCUAGCACAGGCGAUUGAGCUAAGCCGCCUGGAUGAGGGUGCUGCUAGCAGCAUCGAAGAAGAGCAGCUGCGUAUGGUCCUAGAGCAGUCUCGGCAAGAAGCGCGAGGAAGAGGAGGAGGUGGCAGCAACCGGCGAGGUGCAUCACGGUUUCCCCGCCGAGGUUGGGGGGCCCCUGGUAGGGGAGGAGGUGCUGAGCGCCACCCGCAAAUGGAGGCCUCACUGCCACCAGUGCCCCCAAACCUCCUUAACCGCAUCACCAUUGUGGGCAGCAUAGAUGCCGGCCGCCUCACUUCAGGGACCAUGCCACCGCCGCUGCCCUUAGUUCAUCCUCCACCUGCUCCGCCUCCGUCGCCCAAUGCGGAACCCACCGUGACAUUCGACCAGUGGCUGUCACUAUGCAGCCGCUACAUGCCCCUGCUGGCCCAGGGCAUGGUGGAGCUUCAACGCACGUGUGCCGCGGUUCGUUCGGCUGCUCCAUCCCUUGACGGGGCGCCCCUUUUGCUGCCGCCACCCCCACUUUGGUCAUCACGAUUUCCUCCGGGAGGUGCACAGUCACCCCUGUCACCCAUGGCCCCUCCCAUGACCUCGCCCAUGAAUUCCAUAACCUCACCCAUGGCCCCACCUCCCAUGGGCCCUUCUCACAUGGCCCCAGCUGAUGGGGGCAUUUUUAAUGCUGCACCUUCGGCCUUCCAGUGCAUUCCUCAGCCAGCGCGGCCACCGAGGCCGGUUCGCGGUGUCGGUCACAAUGCUGGCUUGCACCAGAAAAAUGUACAGCAGCAUCACCAGCAGAUGCCAGCCGCACAUGUUGGCAAGAGGCAGCACCUCAACGAGCAGGUCCACAGUGGGGGACAGAGUUCGGGCGAUGUGGGUCAUCGCCUACACCAGAAAAACAUGCAGCAACAUCCACAUCAACCUUCAGCAGCUGCUAAUGCUAGCAGAAAGCAGCAGCCCACUGAACAGGUCCACAGUGGUGGGCAAGGUUCUGACGACACUGGGCAUCGCCAGCUUCAGAAACCUGCACAGCAACAGCCCUUGGCAGCUAGCAUAGGCAGUAAACAGCAUACCUCUGAACAACCACAUGCCCUCUGCCGAGGCGGGGCUCGUGCAAAGAAGAAGAGGAAAGGAGGCAAGCCAACUUCCUCUUAACUUCCAUUUGUGAGAUGCAAUAAUAACAAGGAAACGGUGCCCAUGGGCAUGAGGUCAGCUUUGUAAAGGCCGUUAAAAAGCUUUCAAAAGAAACUCUACCGUAAUGUCCUGAUGAAACCCUGGGAGGCCAGGAGGUUCUGGCUCCUGGACAGGUGUGGUGUCUGCACAAGCUUCUUCAGUGCAGCGACUGAGCCACGCUGCAUUAUUUGCGCUUGAUUGUGGCAUGGUGCCUUAUUAAUAUGAGAAUGAAAUAAAUGAGAUACUUCAUUUUAUUCAAACUGCCA